rnacentral:siRNA from 1 species
CCUAGAGAUGCAAGGCGAAGCCUG